UUCCCGUUUGCUUCUACACUGAUUCAAAACAAGAAAGCCAUUUAUUAAAAUAUCAUGCUGAAACUGGCGGAGAUGUUUUUAUUGAUUAUGUUGAAGGAAAUAGUGGAUUAUGUACUAAAAGAGCUCAUUGUCCAAAAAAUUUCGAUUUAAAAGUUGAAGAAUGCUCUUAUUUAAGAUUGACUUGUGACACUGUUAAACAAUAUGUAGGUGACUUCCCGAAAUGCUGUUUAAAGUGUUAAGUAUGUAUGCAUUUAUGUACCUACAUAUACAUACAUAAAUUACAACUGUUGAAACUUAUAAACAGUUAUUAAUUUUUAAAAUUAAUUUGUUUUAAAAGAAAAUUCUAUAAUAAAUUUAAAAAUCUAUUUACACUA